CUUUCUCUUUCUCUUUCUCUUUCUCUCUCUCUCUCUCUCUGUGUGUGUGUGUGUGUGUGUGAGAGAGAGAGAGAGAGAGAGAGAGAGAGAGAGAGAAAU